rnacentral:lncRNA from 1 species
UGGUACCAUUCAACUGAAGCAUCAAUCCCAUUAAAACCUUUUAAAAUGUUCUUAUAUGGAAAACACACUCUGACCUUGCCCAACUGCAUUUUCUGGCAAGAGCUACUUAGCUGGCCGAGUGAUGCAGAGCUGGAGUUCUCUUGCUUUAAUUUUGGAGAUCCUUAGCCAGCAACCAUGGGUUCAAAAUUUCUCCUGGACGAGGCCCAAUCACACUGUCAAUGAGAUUAGAGAUUUUAUUUAAGAUUUAUUUAUUAUAGAUUUUAUGUAAGACAGUUGGGCUGAUAUACGAGCGUGUGUUAAGUAAAGACUUAUUUAUUUAUUUUAUCUGUGUGGAUGUUUAGUCUGCCUGUCUGCCUGUCUGUCUGUCUGUACAGAAGAGGUUGUGGGAUGCCCAGGAAAUGGAGUUACAGACAGUUGUUAGUGGCCAUGUGGGUGUUGGGAAUUGAACCCUGGUACUCCAGAAGAGGAACCAGUGUUCUUAACUGCUGGGCCAUCUUGCCAGCCCUCCAUAGUUCUUCCAGAAACUGAAGACAGGUCUGUAAGAUGAUGAAAUAUUGCUGCAGCUCACCAGGUAGAGGCACUUGUCUUGCGAUCCUAGACACCUGAGUCCAUCCCCACAACACAUAUAAAGGUAAAAGAUCAAUCAGGCCUCCAUACACGUGCUGAAUUGUGUGUGCACAAACACAAUCAUUUUUCAGACUAUUGAUGGGCAUGGACUCCGCCUAUAUCCACCACCCUCUUCCAUUCCUCCCCUGUAAUUGGUCCUGGGCUCUCAUUCCCAGAGUGCACUGUUCUUCCUAUUGGGAUGUUUAUUCAUGUUUUUCUUCUCUUCUGCCAGUAUCGUUUAAACCAGAAUGGUCAGCCUCCUGAGGUUGGCUGACCUGGCGGGCUCAGUGGCUACCACAUUGGACCGCAGCAAGACUGCAGUACAUUGAUAACAUUUCAGCACUCAAAGGACGGCUUUAUAGAUUUGAGUUGGAAGAAUAUAUCUUAGUCUAAGUGACUUUGAAUAGAAGUUUUCGCUCAUAUUCAAAUAUUUACCCUCCAAAUUAUGAGUGGUAAUUUUAAACAAGGAGAAAGCAAUCCAGUAAGCUUAAUUAUCUGGUUUUCCUUAAUUCUGGCCAUGUGCAUUCACACAGAACCUUUCCAUAUCUCAAAAGUACCCUUUGCUCUGUCAUUUCCUUUUUGCACCUAGUGUGUACCUGUCUGACUGUGUGUAACCUGUCUUACUUUGUAUGCCUGUCUGACAGUGUGCGCCUGUCUAACUGUACCUACAGGUCUGAAUGUGUUUGCUUGGCCAUCUUGCUACAAUGUGUGCCCAUAUGACACUGUGUGUCCUACUGAUAGUAUGUUGCCAUGUGAUGGUGUAUGUCUGUCUGAUAGUGUGUACCCAUCCGACUGUGUGUUUGUCGGGCUGUGUGUACCUGUCUGACAGUGUGUGCCUAUCUGUUGUACAUACCCAACUGUGUGCGCCAGUCUGGCUGUGUGCUAGUCUGACUGUAUGUCCUGGUUUGAGUGUGUUUAAGUGUCUGAUGGUGCAUAUCUGGCUGGUGCUUAGCCUAUCUCUCUGUUCCCAGGAGUGGUUGCAUAUGUCCUAAUUCUUUCUUGAUUAGACUGGUCACUUACUUCCUCUAAGCAGAGACCUGCCUGGGGCUUUGUGCUCCCUGGAAACCUCUCUGGUGCUCCUUGGGUGGCUGGUGCUCCUUGGAGUGGCUGGUGCUCCUUGGGUGGCUGGUGCUCCUUGGGUGACUGGUGCUCCUUGGAGUGGCUGGUGCUUUGUGUGAAGAAUCUCUCUGUUGUACUGUCAGGUUCCCAGGUAGUACCGGAUGGUGAUCCUGCCUUGGCAUGCAUCCUCCACUCAGAUGUCCCAGCUCUCCUGUUGGGCCUGGAUCACGGCACUUGCCCUUGAAUGGGCCCUUCAUUUUGACUACUGAAGCGGAGCAAAGUUCUUGCCUUAUUAUAUCUAAAUUUUACAAUUACUGGAAUCUGAGCAUGACCUAGUUGCUCGGAUUGAAUUAAGUCAUUGUUUUUGGACUCCACAAAGCUUAUUCAAUAUCUUUUUUAGCUUCACUGUAUUAAUAUUGAUGCCCCCCUGGGUUUUUAUUUUUCAUAAACAGGCCACAUUGAAUUGGGUAGGGCUUUGC